rnacentral:tRNA from 1 species
CCGGGAUAGCUCAGUCGGUAGAGCAGAGGA